rnacentral:rRNA from 1 species
AAGCGCAGCAAUGCGUGGAGCUGACCAGUACUAAUCGCCCGUUCGGCUUAAUCAUAAAACUUACCCAA